AUCUGAAAUCUGUGAAGCUGAAACUCAACAGGUAUGGGCCAAAGCUUUUAUCCACAGACAGACUAUCUUUUCUUUUUGGGACAAGCUUCAGCCCUGCUUUUUGAGUCUUCCCACUGAUUGAAUCAGUCCUACCCAUAAUAUACAAACAUAAAUCCUGAAUUUUUUUUAGACUUACCAAAUUCAACUGGUUGUGGACUGAAUUACAUCUGCAAAAGGUCAUCACAGAAACAGCUGGAUUAUCAUUUGAUUGAGUAACUGGGGGCUAUAGCCUAGCCAAGUUAACAUAUCAAAGUCACUGCAGAUGGAAAGCUUACCUGAGGAGCUGGGAUUUAAAGAAUGAGCAGAAGAUACUUGAGUAAAGAAGAUGAAGAGAUUUCCAGGCAAUGAAAGACACUUACCAAGGCCAGGGAGGCUGGAACACAGAAAGUGACAGGGAACGUGGCAAAAGACUAUGCUAAAGCAGUUGGCAGGAGCUAGCACUCUGAAAACAACAUUAAGAACUCUCUUUGGUCUUUAUCCUAAGAGCAACGGAAGACCUGGCAACACUAGUUUGGGGAAAUUUAUUGAACUAUCAAAAGUCAAAAAAGCCCACAGCACAGCAUCAUGAUAAAGACGUGUCAGUGUAUAAGAAGAACCAAACA